rnacentral:rRNA from 1 species
CAGCCGCCGCGGUAAUACUAGCACCUCAAAUGGCAGCCGAUUUUAUUGGGCUUAAAGCGUUCGUAGCCUGUUUGGUGGGUCCUUGGUGAAAUCCUGCGGCUUAACCGUAGGGAUUGCCGGGGAAACUACCAGGCUUGAGGACGGGAGAGGUCAGGGGUACUUCUGGGGUAAGGGUGAAAUCUUAUAAUCCUAGAAGGACCAACAGUGGCGAAGGCGCCUGACAUGAACGUGCCUGACGGUGAGGGACGAGAGCCAGGGUCGCGAAACGGAUUAGAUACCCGUGUAGUCCUGGCUGUAAACGAUGCCGACUAGGUGAGAUGUGUUCUUAGUGAACACACCGUGCCGAAGAGAAAUCGUUAAGUCGGCCGCCUGGGUAGUACGUCCGCAAGGAUGAAACUUAAAGGAAUUGGCGGGGGAGCACUACAAGGGGUGGAAGCUGCGGUUCAAUUAGAUUAAACGCUGGACAUCUCACCGGAGGCGACAGCAGGAUGAAGGCCAGGCUGAAGGUCUUGCCGAACGCGCUGAGAAGAGGUGCAUGGCCGCCGUCAGCUCGUGCCGUGAGGUGUUAGGUUAAGUCCUAAAACGAGCGAGACCCACAUUCUUAGUUGCAACUUGCUGCUCAGGCAGUAGGGCACACUAAGAAGACUGCCCGCUAUAAGUGGGAGGAAGGAGUGGACAACGGUAGGUCCGCAUGCCCUGAAUCUUCCGGGCUACACGCGUCUUACAAUGGUCGAUACAAUGGGUUGCAACCCCGAAAGGGGGAGCUAAUCCCUAAAGUCGAUCCCAGUACGGAUCGAGGAUUGAAACUCAUCCUCGUGAAGUUGGAAUCCCUAGUAAUCGCAGUUCAUUAUGCUGCGGUGAAUACGUCCCUGCCCCUUGCACAC